UACGGAGGAUCCAAGCGUUAUCCGGAAUCAUUGGGUUUAAAGGGUCCGUAGGCGGUCUUGUAAGUCAGUGGUGAAAGCCCAUCGCUCAACGGUGGAACGGCCAUUGAUACUGCAGGACUUGAAUUAUUGGGAAGUAACUAGAAUAUGUAGUGUAGCGGUGAAAUGCUUAGAGAUUACAUGGAAUACCAAUUGCGAAGGCAGGUUACUACUAAUGGAUUGACGCUGAUGGACGAAAGCGUGGGUAGCGAACAGG
rnacentral:rRNA from 1 species